GGGCUGGGUGUGGCCCACGUGCAACUGC
rnacentral:sRNA from 1 species